CCUGCCCUUAGAGGCAUUGCAGGUGUGGCUGCUGUGUCCCAAGUACGUCAGUAGGUGGCAGAGAGGAGAGAGGCUGUGUCUAGGCUCAGCAUUCUGACCACAGGCCAUGAAAAACUCAGGCCUAAGGAGACCACCAGU
rfam:Mus musculus chromosome 4, GRC primary reference assembly.